UUUGUGUUUGUUCAGGUUUUGCCCCUCUCAUUAGUUGUCUCUAUGGCAUUGAAAGGAGAUGGAUAUGGACUCAUAUUUUGUUUUCCCUGCAUUUCCAUAUCCAAUUUGAAUUCAAAAAGGUUUUGCCCCUCUCAUUAGUUGUCUCUAUGGCAUUGAAUGGAGAUGGAUAUGGACUCAUAUUUUGUUUUCCCUGCAUUUCCAUAUCCAAUUUGAAUU